rnacentral:tmRNA from 1 species
GCUCUUGUUGCGAUGGGACCGUUAGGAAGACCCUGGGCUGCGUCCUUUGGUUUCUUUUUCCUGGCGGUCGUCAGCCUAGCCACACCCACCCCUGGAGAAGAUGAUGAUAUUCCUGUAAAAAUCCAUCGGCUGACCUUCGUGAAGGGACUAGUACCAGAUGUUACUGGCGGGAGCAGCUAUUAUGUCUGCGUAUAUCCAUCCAGGAAAUUAUUCUGCACGCCCACCCGCUGGAAAGAUUUAUCCAGAUUCCUGAACUCUGAAACCUUGAACCAGGUAUGCAGCGCCCGGACCAUUUACAGUGUUGUGCCAGUAGAAAUGCUAAGAAUCAUAUCUUUGCCGCUUCCACCUGAGAUCAAGUCUAUCGUUGGUGGGUCGAUUAGAAGUCAAUAUGUAUCCUUUCCAACUUUCAUCUCCCUGCAUCCUGCCAAGUUGCCCAUCUGGAAGUCAUUCGCCAACCUCAAAGUGUCCAUGAAAUUUAGAUCCAGUCAGUGGGAAGUCGCCUUUAGUGUAGUUUCAAAAACUGAUUAUGCCAUAACAUACUGGGCAGAAAUACCUGGAUUUUUGAUACACGAGUCUGCUACCAUAAAUCUCAUCAACCAGCCCCUCCUGGCACUUUAUGCAGAUUUGCACGUGGACAUGGUUAUGCGACUGACUGAUAAAUUUAUUUAUUGUCAAACAUACACCCUUCAACAAAAAAAUUUGACUGACCCUAGAACUGGGAAGAGACCAACUUCCUCUGUGCUAAUUCCUUCUCCCCAUGUGAAGAACUGUCAAAUCAGGAGAAGGAAUGAGACCCAUUUUGUGGACACUUGUUCCUCGGCAUGGGAUAACUAUACUUCUGAGGCUCAUAAUAUUUCAAGGAACAGUUCUUCAAGAGGUUCAAAUGCCACACAGCUGGUCAACAUUACAGCCAACCCCUGCACUCUCCCUACCUUGUGGGAUAACUGGCCAUGUUAUACCAACUACAGAAGUUCGCCAGUACCAGAGAUUGUCAUUCAUGAAAAUAUUCUCCUAGAGGGACGGGCAAUUUAUAUAAUUUAUCACCAAAUUGGACUUUUCGAUCAGCCACGGUUGUGUGUGGCCACUUUUUGGAUGUCUAAAGAGGAAACACUCCUCAUGCAGCUUGAUUACCCUUGUGAAGUUUCUGUAGAGAAAAAGGGUAAGAAAUUUUUUAUCAAAUCCGUUGUGUCGAUGUAUCAUGCUAUUUCCAUGGUUACAUUCAUCUGGGAAUAUGGUAUUGAGAUUUAUGACUUUCUAGAAUAACUGUACCCUGUUAAGUUUCAAUUCCUUGUGGCCCUACCCCGAAUCUCUAUUAAAGGGUUAAUAAAAAUUACUCUCAACAAAA